UGGGGAAUAUUGCACAAUGGGCGCAAGCCUGAUGCAGCCAUGCCGCGUGUGUGAAGAAGGCCUUCGGGUUGUAAAGCACUUUCAGCGGGGAGGAAGGCGUUAAGGUUAAUAACCUUGGCGAUUGACGUUACCCGCAGAAGAAGCACCGGCUAACUCCGUGCCAGCAGCCGCGGUAAUACGGAGGGUGCAAGCGUUAAUCGGAAUUACUGGGCGUAAAGCGCACGCAGGCGGUCUGUCAAGUCGGAUGUGAAAUCCCCGGGCUCAACCUGGGAACUGCAUUCGAAACUGGCAGGCUAGAGUCUUGUAGAGAGGGGUAGAAUUCCAGGUGUAGCGGUGAAAUGCGUAGAGAUGUGGAGGAAUACCGGUGGCGAAGGCGGCCCCCUGGACAAAGACUGACGCUCAGGUGCGAAAGCGUGGGGAGCAAACAGG
rnacentral:rRNA from 1 species